rnacentral:rRNA from 1 species
AACGCGAAGAACCUUACCAACCCUUGACAUGGAUAUCGCGGCUCUGGAGACAGAGCUUUCAGUUCGGCUGGAUAUCACACAGGUGCUGCAUGGCUGUCGUCAGCUCGUGUCGUGAGAUGUUCGGUUAAGUCCGGCAACGAGCGCAACCCACAUUUUUAGUUGCCAGCAUUCAGUUGGGCACUCUAGAAAAACUGCCGGUGAUAAGCCGGAGGAAGGUGUGGAUGACGUCAAGUCCUCAUGGCCCUUACGGGUUGGGCUACACACGUGCUACAAUGGUGGUGACAAUGGGUUAAUCCCAAAAAGCCAUCUCAGUUCGGAUUGGGGUCUGCAACUCGACCCCAUGAAGUCGGAAUCGCUAGUAAUCGCGUAACAGCAUGACGCGGUGAAUACGUUCCCGGGCCUUGUACACACCG